GGCCUGAUGGUCUAGUAGUAUGAUUCCUUGUUAGGGUUGUAUAAUCAUCGAGGAGGUCCCGGGUUCAAUUCCCGGUCAGGCCC